rnacentral:lncRNA from 1 species
CAAGACAAGGAUUCCCUCUCUUAUCACUCCUAUUCACCAUUCACAAUUGCCACAAAAAGAAUAAAAUACCUGGGAAUACAACUAACCAGGGAGGUGAAAAAUCUCUACAAUGUAGCGUGUGACGGGGUGGUGAGUCCACGCCCACCCUCUCUCACACUGGCUCAGGCGUUCCCCGAGGCUCUCAGGGAAGGGAGGGUUGCCUGGAACAAGGCAUUGCGGGAUGGAAGGCUGACGGACAGGGACAACAGAACAUUUAUGGGCAGCAGAUUCCCAAUUCCUCACCUGGGCUUCCCUGCUGUGGAGCAGCAUGGCAGGGUGAAGUCAAAAGGAACAGGAUGGACUCCCAGCUGAUCAGCCACAAGCUGUGUGACUUGGGGAUGUUGCUCUUAACUGCUGUGCUUCCCAU